ACUAAUUUUCUUGUCAUCUUCAACAAACUCACCAUUAACUGAGAGUCCAUAGGGUAAACACCGGUGAGUUUUAUCUACUUUUCAUCAGUGUUGACACAUGGUAAUAAAAUCAUUUGUUGAAAAAAUUUAUGAAUGAAUGAAUAAAGCACAAUCUGAAAGUGCUCACCUGUUCCAAAAGCAUUCAUUGAAACAAUGCUUUCAUUCACUGGUAAAAAGUAGCAAUGGGACUAUUUCUCAUGGAUACAUUUAUAUUGAAUAGUGCUCAUAAACUAUAUAUAAUAUUUAUGAUAUAUGUGUACAUGCAUUUACAUCAGAUUAUGUAAACAAAUGAGAACCAAAAGAAAAUUUAAAUAUGUGCAAAUAUUUACCAAACACCAAAACCAUCAAAGCAGAGGCAACUCCAAUUCUAAAGAAGACAUAUGCACAAUCAAAUAUGUCACUUAAAAAUGUAAGAAAAAGACAAUCUCUUUUCCAUUCUCAGAGCUUGAUUUAAUAUCAAGGCAGAGCUCAGCAGUUUGGCCUUUUCUUCAGAGUUGGAAUGUGCUUUCCAAACCUUUUUUAUUUUAAUGUGACUCUGGCUGAUAGUCCCUGAAAUUCUAACAUUCGAGCCCUAUAAGCAUUAUUUUACUCUCGUGGCCCACUGAGCAACCUCAGAAAAAAUAAUUUUUGGCAACUGAUCUUUACAGAAAAUGAAGUGAUUGCCAUUUUUUUCAUUUCUCUCUGGAUUUCUCAAACAAGCCUGCCAAUAUUGAGUGAAAGCACUUUGGAAAGUAGUAACUUGGAUAUCAGAAUAAAUAAAUAUUAUGGAUUCUCCCCUGCAAGUUUUACCCAGUAUCCCUGAAAGAAAAAGCUUCCUCUCACCUGUUUUGACUGUACGUGUGGCUGUGCUCUCUGGCUUCAGAAUUGCUUCUAUAGGAAGAAAUUAAUCAUCGAUUAUUCUACUAAAAUAGAUGUAACAUUCACUGUGAUCCGUUAUGUGAGCAACAAUGUGGAGUACUGGUAUAGAGUUUCGGGAGACCUGGGUGUUAAUUCUAGCUUAGUCACAUGCUACAUGUGUGAACUUGGGCAAGUUACUUGAUCCUGAAGCCUCACUUUUCUCCUUUGAAAAUGGGAAUAAUACUACCACCUACCUCCUGGAAUUGUAGUGGUGAAGAUUAAAUCAGGAUAUGAGACUUCUCACAGAAAUAAAGGUUAAAUUAUACCUGUGCCUCAGCAACAACUGUAUCCAGGAAUUCCAGCACUUAUUUCUUCUCUCAUGGGGGCAUCUUUAUUCCUCUUUUG
rnacentral:lncRNA from 10 species